rnacentral:lncRNA from 1 species
UGAUUACAGAAAAUUGCACUGCUGUUUGGGAUUAACUGCACUAAAAUCAACCAAUCACAGUCGAGUAAUAUCUUUAUGUAUAUUAUUAAGUGCUAAAUAUAUGUAGGAUGGAUUAUGAAGUACAUGACAGCACGGCAAUAACACAAAACAUAUUUCAAACUAGUUGGAAUUUGUAAAAUGUUCUAUGCUGUAUGCUGUACAAAAUAAAUACACUAACUAAACGAGGGGUACAGUUCUGGAACGUUAACAAGGGGGGCUUUUGUUCACUACAAUACAUUGUCUGGAAUAUUAGAGGGGGGAGUCGGUGACAACAUGACUAUAACUUGGGAAUUCCAAUUUGUAUUUCUGCUUGUAGUAAACCUGUAAUUAACAUUGAACAGUGUUUGUUUCAAAUGAGGAAAGGAUUUAAGUUACUAUAAUUAUCAAAAGGGAAAACCGCGGUCCUUCCUCUCACCCAAAAGUUCAAGUUUUCGUUUCAAAACAUUCAGUAAUGCGGGUACAUCCAUGACGUCGUGAAAUCAACAACAUAUGACUAGUCUGCGGGAAAUUGUUAAACAUUAGCUAUUAAUAAUUUUACAUUUUAGAAGUCGCAUUCCUGAAUGUUUUAACACGAAAAUAAGACACGAUUUCGAAAAUAAGACACGAUUUUUCGAACGAGAGGAAGGAAUAUGCCUUGAAAGUAACAGCGGUGUUCAAUGAUCAGGCAGUGAUUACCAAAAUCAUCGUUGGAGGCGACUAAAAUCUUAUUACGACUUCAAUUCCAAAGAAUUUAUGCAAUCUGAGAAAAAUAUAUGACACCACAAGCAUUGUGUAAAACUUGACAUGCCUACUAAAAUACAAUGUGUCAAUGCAUGGGAGGUAUAAUCAAAUACGUAUUCAUGAAUGAAUUUAAAAACAGAAAAAUCAUAUACAUUACAUGCAUGCAGUGUUGGCCGAUUACUCUGCUUACGACAUUUUCUUACUUAUCUUAUGACGUUUUCUUACUUAUCUUUAAUAUGACGUUUUCUUACUUAUCGUAUGACGUUUUCUUACUUAUUUAUGACGUUUUCUUACUUAUCUUAUGACGUUUUCUUACUUAUCGUAUGACGUUUUCUUACUUAUCUUAUGACGUUUUCUUACUUAUCUUACUUACUCAAACUAAGGUAAGGCAGACCAAUCGCAAAAGUGUAAAAUAACUUACUCAACACUUCAGAAAGGUCAAACUGAUUCUAGCUUUCUUAUUUUAUUUCUAUAGUUCUUUAAUGUUUAUUUAAUUCAGCAAGUGUUUUCUUCCUGCUACCAUUACUUUCUUAUCAAAAACAGGAAGUUGGAUCUUGGUGUUAUGUUGAUAAAAUGGGUUCAUCAUUACCU